rnacentral:lncRNA from 1 species
UGACUCACUUGCUGUCUCCACGUCUCCUUCUCUUCAUCAGCUGAAGAUAACUCCUACUGAGAUACACUGAUCCCGGUGUGCUUCAGCAUCUGGAAGAUCCUAAGAGGAAUGACACAGAGUGAUGGGAAGCACAGGCACAAUCCUGAACAUCUCCUGCUGCGGGACACAAGCCCAGGAGAGAGCUGAGGAAGGUGGGUUUUGUGCUGAGCCUUCCAAGUCCAGCAGAGAGAUCCCCCCCCACUGCUGAGGCACUUCACUGGAGAAUAAUUUAGACCCUUUUCCUAAGCCAGGAGACUGUUACGGAUCCUGCCAGCUGGUAAGUCUUUAAAUUCACUGAAGUCAAAUCAGCUGUGUGUCACUCUAUUUGGCCUAAAUUUGAAUGCAGCUCUGCCUUAAACACUUGGCAGGUGGGCAUCUGUAAGAGCCCAAACACAGACCUGAAUUAAGAGGGAUGGAUUUCACUUGAGGGAUGCUCACCCACAUACCUGAGAUCUCCAGGGGGUUUCCCAGCAGGUCUGUGCCCCAUUGACCUGUAGCUGAGCAUCCCCAGCCCAAAUCCAGGCACAACCUUUAUUUCAG